UCUCUUGGUUCUCGCAUCGAUGAAGAACGCAGCGAAUUGCGAUAAGUAAUGUGAAUUGCAGAUUUUCGUGAAUCAUCGAAUCUUUGAACGCAUAUUGCGCUCUAUGGUAUUCCGUAGAGCAUGCCUGUUUGAGCGUCAUUUCUCUC
rnacentral:rRNA from 1 species